rnacentral:tRNA from 1 species
AUUUAAAUAGUUUAUGUUAAAAUAAGGACUUGUGGUGUCUUAGAAAAACAGUUGUUUUUUAAAUA